CGGUGUACAGGUGGUGCAUGGUUGUCGUCAGCUCGUGUCGUGAGAUGUUGGGUUAAGUCCCGCAACGAGCGCAACCCUCGUCCUAUGUUGCCAGCGGGUCAUGCCGGGGACUCAUGGGAGACUGCCGGGGUCAACUCGGAGGAAGUGGGGAUGACGUCAAAUCAUCAUGCCCCUUAUGUCUUGGGCUUCACGCAUGCUACAAUGGCCGGUACAAAGGGCUGCGAUACCGGCGAGGUGGAGCGAAUCCCAGAAAGCCGGUCUCAGUUCGGAUUGGGGUCUGCAACUCGACCCCAUGAGGUCGGAGUCGCUAGUAAUCGCAGAUCAGCAACGCUGCGGUGAAUACGUUCCCGGGCCUU
rnacentral:rRNA from 1 species